UACGGAGGGCGCAAGCGUUGUUCGGAAUCAUUGGGCGUAAAGCGCGUGCAGGCGGCUUGGUAAGUCGGGUGUGAAAUCCCGGGGCUCAACCCCGGAACUGCACCCGAUACUGCCCCGCUCGAGUCCCGGAGAGGGUGACGGAAUUCCCGGUGUAGAGGUGAAAUUCGUAGAUAUCGGAAGGAACACCAGCGGCGAAGGCGGCCAUCUGGACGGUGACUGACGCUGAGACGCGAAAGCGUGGGGAGCAAACAGG
rnacentral:rRNA from 1 species